rnacentral:rRNA from 1 species
UGCAGAGGUGGCAAGCGUUGUUCGGAAUUACUGGGCGUAAAGGGCGCGUAGGCGGUCUUCUAAGUCUUGUGUGAAAUCCCUCGGCUCAACUGAGGAACUGCACGGGAUACUGGAAGACUUGAGUUCGGGAGAGGGAAGCGGAAUUCCGGGUGUAGCGGUGAAAUGCGUAGAUAUCCGGAGGAACACCGGUGGCGAAGGCGGCUUCCUGGACCGAUUACUGACGCUGAGGCGCGAAAGCUAGGGGAGCAAACGGG